GCGGGAGUAGUCUAGUGGUUAUGAUGUCUGCUUUACAAUCUCUCUAUUCUGUAAUCGCAGAAGGUCGGGGGUUCGAUCCCCCCCUCCCGUA